rnacentral:rRNA from 1 species
GAUGAACGCUAGCGGCAGGCCUAACACAUGCAAGUCGAGGGAGAAGCCCUUUCGGGGGCAGAAACCGGCGCACGGGUGCGUAACGCGUAUGCAACCUACCUUUCACAGGGGGAUAGCCCGAAGAAAUUUGGAUUAAUACCCCAUAAUAUUAUUGGAUGGCAUCAUUUGAUAAUUAAAACUGCGGUGGUGAAAGAUGGGCAUGCGUCCUAUUAGCUAGUUGGAGUGGUAACGGCACCCCAAGGCUACGAUAGGUAGGGGUCCUGAGAGGGAGAUCCCCCACACUGGUACUGAGUCAGGGACCAGACUCCUACGGGAGGCAGCAGUGAGGAAUAUUGGUCAAUGGUCGGAAGACUGAACCAGCCAUGCCGCGUGCAGGAAGAAUGCCUUAUGGGUUGUAAACUGCUUUUAUAUGGGAAGAAUAAGGCGUACGUGUACGUUGAUGACGGUACCAUAUGAAUAAGCAUCGGCUAACUCCGUG